UAGAGUUUGAUUCUGGCUCAGAUUGAACGCUGGCGGCAGGCCUAACACAUGCAAGUCGAGCGGCAGCGGGAAAGUAGCUUGCUACUUUUGCCGGCGAGCGGCGGACGGGUGAGUAAUGCCUGGGGAUCUGCCCAGUCGAGGGGGAUAACUACUGGAAACGGUAGCUAAUACCGCAUACGCCCUACGGGGGAAAGCAGGGGACCUUCGGGCCUUGCGCGAUUGGAUGAACCCAGGUGGGAUUAGCUAGUUGGUGAGGUAAUGGCUCACCAAGGCGACGAUCCCUAGCUGGUCUGAGAGGAUGAUCAGCCACACUGGAACUGAGACACGGUCCAGACUCCUACGGGAGGCAGCAGUGGGGAAUAUUGCACACCGGGGGAAACCCUGAUGCAGCCAUGCCGCGUGUGUGAAGAAGGCCUUCGGGUUGUAAAGCACUUUCAGCGAGGAGGAAAGGUUGGUAGCUAAUAACUGCCAGCUGUGACGUUAACUCGCAGAAGAAGCACCGGCUAACUCCGUGCCAGCAGCCGCGGUAAUACGGAGGGUGCAAGCCGUUAAUCGGAAUUACUGGGCGUAAAGCGCACGCCGGCGGUUGGAUAAGUUAGAUGUGAAAGCCCCGGGCUCAACCUGGGAAUUGCAUUUAAAACUGUCCGGCUAGAGUCUUGUAGAGGGGGGUAGAAUUCCAGGUGUAGCGGUGAAAUGCGUAGAGAUCUGGAGGAAUCCCGGUGGCGAAGGCGGCCCCCUGGACAAAGACUGACGCUCCGGUGCGAAAGCGUGGGGAGCAAA
rnacentral:rRNA from 1 species